CCCUGCAAUGUCUCUUGCCAUGGACACGCAUGUGCCUAUUCCUUCACGGGGCAUUUUACGUGUGUGUGUUGAGUGUCCGCUCUGUGCCAAGCAGUCCCCCAGGUGCAUGGGACGCAGCAAGCAGCCCCAGUGCAAGGCUCUCGGGGCAUCAGACUGAACACGGACGAAGACCGCGGUGCAGCAUGGCCGCAGUCCAUCGUAGACGUCAGAGUGCGCUCAUCUGUCAUGUCUGCCGAAGAACUGGGACCUUCUGGAUUAAGUCGCUAACCAGGGCUCCCUCCUCCUAAGAAGAAUGUAUUUGUGCGUCAGAUGCUGUAUAAAGUACUAGCCAGUGUUCAGAGCUUUGAGAGGAGCGAGGGUCUGAGGGACAGGGCCCACGACGGGAGGAGACAGUGACAGUGACGGAAGUGACCGGAAGCCAGCUCCGUGUGCGCAGGCUCCGUGCUAACCCAGCGGGACUGCUCCAGAGAAAGAGGCCCGAAAACAUGACUCAGAGAACUUGGAGGAAAGGCCAGCAGCACGCCUUUGGCCGGCACCCAGCACCAUGCCCAGGGUGCGCUGACCCUCCAGUGGAGGGCCAAGGGCGCAUUCAAGUCACACAGCCCUUCCUGUGACCCACAAAACUGAGCAGGAAAUGCACAUUUGUAAGAAGAUAUAAAGCAACAUUGUUCGCUGCACUAACAAGUCCUGAAAGUCCCUCAGCCAAGGGGGAAGAGGCAAAAUGAGAAAUGUUUUUUAACAAAAAAAAAAAAGAGAGAGAGAGAGAGAAAAGGGAAACAGAAAAAAAAACAACAGCUCUGGGGGGAGGCCCACGUGAGGGGCUGGGGCCCGGGGAGCAGGGCUCAGGGAUGUCCCCUCUGGCAUCUGUCCCUCCUGCUCCGUCUCCUGGCUCUUCAGGGGGAGGCUGGAAGCACGGGAAGAAAAUAUCCACGGAGCUCACUCUCCUUUAGGUCUUAAAAUGGGGAAACACCCAAUCCCCUUUAUGAAAAUUCAAGUAGAAACUGAUACGUCGUUUAUCAUUAAUGAUCCAACUUAAAGCAGGAAAGGAGCUAUGGUAUCAAAAAUGUAAAUCAGACCUCCAGGCAUGGAGUAAGUCUUCUUACUCGCAUGGAUCAGACUAUCAGUCCUGUUAUCUGAAGUAGACAG